GGGAAAGAGUGAGAGGAAGAGUUGGAGAAAAGUCGGGGGAAAGUAGGGACAGGGUUAAGGGGAGAGAGGAGGAUGAGGGCGGCGAGGAGAGAUUAAAAGGGGAAGGGGGGUCGCUGGAGAGGAGGGCGGACUGUGGAUCGGAGGUAUUGCGCAGCGAUGCACGGCCAUCAAGUACCACUUUUCUCAGCCCAUCCGCUUGCGAAACAUUCCUUUUAAUUUAACCAAGACCAUACAGCAAGAUGAGUGGCACCUGCUUCAUUUAAGAAGAAUCACUGCUGGCUUCCUCGGCAUGGCCGUAGCCGUCCUUCUCUGCGGCUGCAUUGUGGCCACAGUCAGUUUCUUCUGGGAGGAGAGCUUGACCCAGCACGUGGCUGGACUCCUGUUCCUCAUGACAGGGAUAUUUUGCACCAUUUCCCUCUGUACUUAUGCCGCCAGUAUCUCGUAUGAUUUGAACCGGCUCCCAAAGCUAAUUUAUAGCCUGCCUGCUGAUGUGGAACAUGGUUACAGCUGGUCCAUCUUUUGCGCCUGGUGCAGUUUAGGCUUUAUUGUGGCAGCUGGAGGUCUCUGCAUCGCUUAUCCGUUUAUUAGCCGGACCAAGAUUGCACAGCUAAAGUCUGGCAGAGACUCCACGGUAUGACUGUCCUCACUGGGCCUGUCCACAGUGCGAGCGACUCCUGAGGGGAACAGCGCGGAGUUCAGGAUUCCAAGCACAAAGCGGUCUUUUACAUUCCAACCUGUUGCCUGCCAGCCCUUUCUGGAUUACUGAUAGAAAAUCAUGCAAAACCUCCCAACCUUUCUAAGGACAAGACUACUGUGGAUUCAAGUGCUUUAAUGAC
rnacentral:sRNA from 1 species